UACGUAGGGUGCGAGCGUUAAUCGGAAUUACUGGGCGUAAAGCGUGCGCAGGCGGUUUUGUAAGCCAGAUGUGAAAUCCCCGGGCUUAACCUGGGAAUGGCAUUUGGGACUGCAAGGCUUGAGUUUGGCAGAGGAGACUGGAAUUCCUGGUGUAGCGGUGAAAUGCGCAGAUAUCAGGAGGAACACCAAUUGCGAAGGCAGCUCGCUGGGACGUGACUGACGCUGAGACGCGAAAGCGUGGGGAGCAAACAGG
rnacentral:rRNA from 1 species